AGUGAACGCUGGCGGUAGGCCUAACACAUGCAAGUCGAACGGCAGCACAGGAGAGCUUGCUCUCUGGGUGGCGAGUGGCGGACGGGUGAGGAAUACAUCUGAAUCUGCCCAGUCGUGGGGGAUAACGUAGGGAAACUUACGCUAAUACCGCAUACGACCUUCGGGUGAAAGAGGGGGAUCGCAAGACCUCUCGCGAUUGGAUGAGCCGAUGUCGGAUUAGCUAGUUGGCGGGGUAAUGGCCCACCAAGGCGACGAUCCGUAGCUGGUCUGAGAGGAUGAUAAGCCACACUGGAACUGAGACACGGUCCAGACUCCUACGGGAGGCAGCAGUGGGGAAUAUUGGACAAUGGGCGCAAGCCUGAUCCAGCCAUACCGCGUGGGUGAAGAAGGCCUUCGGGUUGUAAAGCCCUUUUGUUGGGAAAGAAAUCUUUCAGGCUAAUACCCUGGGAGGAUGACGGUACCCAAAGAAUAAGCACCGGCUAACUUCGUG
rnacentral:rRNA from 1 species